UGGGGAAUCUUGCGCAAUGGGCGAAAGCCUGACGCAGCAACGCCGCGUGAGUGAUGAAGGCCUUCGGGUUGUAAAGCUCUUUCGGCUGGGAUAAAGGGAAACUGAUAGUACCAGAAGAAGAAGCACCGGCUAACUUCGUGCCAGCAGCCGCGGUAAUACGAAGGGUGCAAGCGUUGUUCGGAAUGAUUGGGCGUAAAGGGUUCGUAGGCGGGACUUUAAGUUGGAUGUGAAAUGCCAGGGCUUAACCCUGAACGUGCAUUCAAAACUGAAGUUCUUGAGUAAAGGAGAGGGACAGGGAAUUGCUGGUGUAGGAGUGACAUCCGUAGAGAUCAGCAGGAACACCAGAAGCGAAGGCGCUGUCCUGGCCUUAUACUGACGCUGAGGAACGAAAGCGUGGGGAGCAAACAGG
rnacentral:rRNA from 1 species